rnacentral:rRNA from 1 species
GAUGAACGCUGGCGGCGUGCCUAAUACAUGCAAGUCGAGCGAACCACUUCGGUGGUGAGCGGCGAACGGGUGAGUAACACGUAGGUGAUCUGCCCAUCAGACGGGGACAACGAUUGGAAGCGAUCGCUAAUACCGGAUAGGACGAAAGUUUAAAGGUGCUUCUGACACCGCUGAUGGAUGAGCCUGCGGCGCAUUAGCUAGUUGGUAGGGUAAAGGCCUACCAAGGCGACGAUGCGUAGCCGACCUGAGAGGGUGAAAGGCCACACUGGGACUGAGACACGGCCCAGACUCCUACGGGAGGCAGCAGUAGGGAAUCUUCGGCAAUGGGCGGAAGCCUGACCGAGCAACGCCGCGUGAAUGAUGAAGGCCUUCGGGUUGUAAAAUUCUGUUAUAAGGGAAGAACGACUUUAGUAGGAAAUGGCUAGAGUGUGACGGUACCUUAUGAGAAAGCCACGGCUAACUACGUGCCAGCCGCCGCCGUAA